ACUGAGUUAAAUUUUUGAACUGUUCUUUAUCAGAACCAGUCCUAUCAUGCUCACAAAUUGGGGACGAUCAGCUUUCUUAAGGAAGAGAAUAUUUCACACAAGGUCAGCACUUACAGCUCAGUGAUGACAAGAAGAGUGGCUGGAUUCAAGUAUUUGAGCUUUCUGAUGAAGCUACACAGUGAGGGAAGAAAACAAAUGAACCUGCGAUGAUAAAACCAAGAAAGAGUUUGUGGAUUUUAUUCUGCUCAGAUAAAUGUUGCCAUUUCACAUGGAGAAGCAAAGUGGUGGACAGGGAGGCCCAUGGCAGCCAAAGUGACCUUCUGCUGAGGAACUCCAGGUGAUGCUCAUGGAUGGAGCCAGAUGCCCAUCACUUCAGCUGAUGUCAGUCAUGAUCGGUGCAGUUACAUUCUCCCUUUGCCCUCAUAAAAUCCUUUCUUGCACUAGUA